rnacentral:rRNA from 1 species
UACAGAGGGUGCGAGCGUUGUCCGGAAUCACUGGGCGUAAAGGGUUCGUAGGCGGUGCGGCAAGUUGGGAGUGAAAUCUCUGGGCUCAACCCAGAGGCUGCUUCCAAAACUGCUGUGCUUGAGUGUGGGAGAGGCGCGUGGAAUUGCAGGUGUAGCGGUGAAAUGCGUAGAUAUCUGCAGGAACACCCGUGGCGAAAGCGGCGCGCUGGACCACAACUGACGCUGAGGAACGAAAGCUAGGGGAGCAAACAGG